rnacentral:rRNA from 1 species
UACAGAGGGUGCGAGCGUUAAUCGGAUUUACUGGGCGUAAAGCGUGCGUAGGCGGCUGAUUAAGUCGGAUGUGAAAUCCCUGAGCUUAACUUAGGAAUUGCAUUCGAUACUGGUCAGCUAGAGUAUGGGAGAGGAUGGUAGAAUUCCAGGUGUAGCGGUGAAAUGCGUAGAGAUCUGGGGGAAUACCGAUGGCGAAGGCAGCCAUCUGGCCUAAUACUGACGCUGAGGUACGAAAGCAUGGGGAGCAAACAGG